GCCGGGCGUGGUGGCGGGCGCCUGUAAUCCCAGCUACUUGGGAGGCUGAGGCAGGAGAAUCGCUUGAACCCAGGAGGUGGAGGUUGCAGUGAGCCGAGAUUGUGCCAUUGCACCCCAGCCUGGGCGACAGAGCGAGACUCGGUCUCAA
rnacentral:SRP_RNA from 1 species